CCUACGGGAGGCAGCAGUGGGGAAUAUUGGACAAUGGGCGCAAGCCUGAUCCAGCAAUGCCGCGUGAGUGAUGAAGGCCUUAGGGUCGUAAAGCUCUUUUACCAGGGAUGAUAAUGACAGUACCUGGAGAAUAAGCUCCGGCUAACUCCGUGCCAGCAGCCGCGGUAAUACGGAGGGAGCUAGCGUUGUUCGGAAUUACUGGGCGUAAAGCGUACGUAGGCGGUUAUUCAAGUCAGAGGUGAAAGCCCGGGGCUCAACCCCGGAACGGCCUUUGAAACUAGGUAGCUAGAAUCUUGGAGAGGUCAGUGGAAUUCCGAAUGUAGAGGUGAAAUUCGUAGAUAUUCGGAAGAACACCAGUGGCGAAGGCGACUGACUGGACAAGUAUUGACGCUGAGGUACGAAAGCGUGGGGAGCAAACAGGAUUAGAUACCCUGGUAGUCCACGCCGUAAACGAUGAUAACUAGCUGUUCGGGCACUUGGUGCUUGAGUGGCGCAGCUACGCAUUAAGUUAUUCCGUCCGUCGGGUAGGUACGGUCGGCGAAGAAUUAAACUACAAAGAAGUUAGACGGCGUGAGACGUGCCGAACGGACGACGACGAGGGAGGUAGG
rnacentral:rRNA from 1 species